UGCCUGAAAUUUUCCAUUUAAAAGAGCCCCGGCACUCCAACGUCUACUGCUUAUAAAAGCCCCAGUUGCAGCAACAUUGAACGAUACCCAUGCAGCUUUUGUUUUGCUCUGCAGCCCAGGCUGGCCUCCCGCUGGUCCUCCUCCCUCUGCCUCCAGCAUGCCUAGCUCCAACUACAUUUUCAUAAAUUUAAGGAGUCAUUAAUUCCCAAUGUUAUCACAAAAGCAAAAGAUCAGGGGGUAGGGGGAAUAUGCCACAGUGCCAGCAAGAUGGCCUCACGUGCAAAAGGUGACCGAUCUGGGAAAUGUAUUGAGAUAGUGACAACCUGUCCACAGUAAUGUGGGCAAAGUAUUAACUACCUUACCAUUCAUAGGCUUACCGGGUUGCUCAGGACACACGUAAUAGCUGCCAAAGUACCAGCCAUCAGCACUGUGCUUCACCUAACACAUUUGAUCUCAAAAAGAUCACAUAAGACUCUGUGGGAAUAUUUCUAAACAUUACAGCCACUCUGGAAGUUUAGCAUUUUCAAAAACAUGAAAUAUAAAUUUACCAUGCCACCCAAAUUCCACUGCUAGGAACGGACCUCAGAGAUGAAAGUACAUCCACACAGGCAAGUGUGACCGUUGCAAGCACCCUUAGUCCACGCAGCCCGCGCGCAAACAUGACUCCGCACUCCAGCGCUGCCCCAGCCGUCCGGCUCCUUCUGCUCCAAAUUCACCUUCCAACACCGCCAUGUUCGAGAACUGAAGCGUUUACUUAUAAAUUCAUUUUCCAGGACUUCAGCAGAUGUAGCAAUGGUUUAACUCUCGUGGUUCUCACGGUUUUCCUCUUAGCCUUACUGCUGGUAUCGCCUUCUUUGGAGCCUGGUGACUGUACACAAAUACAGCACCAAAGCCGCAGACAGCGCGGCUCUGCAUCUGGGAGAGGGUGCUGGCAGCGCGGCUCCCUCUGCGCAGUCAGGUUUCGCAAGUCAGAUUUCCCGUUUGACUGUGGAGCAGUUUCGAAAACAGAUUUUUCGAGGAGUGGAAACUUCGAGCUUGGAGCCAUUCGACAGCCAAGGUUCACAGUCCUCUGA
rnacentral:lncRNA from 1 species